GAUGAAGAACGUAGCAAAAUGCGAUAAGUAAUGUGAAUUGCAGAAUUCAGUGAAUCAUCGAAUCUUUGAACGCACAUUGCGCCCGCUGGUAUUCCGGCGGGCAUGCCUGUUCGAGCAUCAUUUCAACCCUCAAGCCCUCGGGUUUGGUGUUGGGGAUCGGCUCUGCCCUUCUGGGCGGUGCCGCCCCCGAAAUACAUUGGCGGUCUCGCUGCAGCCUCCAUUGCGUAGUAGCUAACACCUCGCAACUGGAACGCGGCGCGGCCAUGCCGUAAAACCCCAACUUCUGAAUGUUGACCUCGGAUCAGGUAGGAAUACCCGCUGAACUUAAGCAUAUCAAUAAGCGGAGGA
rnacentral:misc_RNA from 1 species